rnacentral:rRNA from 1 species
CGGCGGACGGGUGAGUAACGCGUGGGUAACCUGCCUCAUACAGGGGGAUAACAGUUAGAAAUGGCUGCUAAUACCGCAUAAGACCACGGUACCGCAUGGUACAGUGGUAAAAACUCCGGUGGUAUGAGAUGGACCCGCGUCUGAUUAGGUAGUUGGUGGGGUAACGGCCUACCAAGCCGACGAUCAGUAGCCGACCUGAGAGGGUGACCGGCCACAUUGGGACUGAGACACGGUCCAA